rnacentral:rRNA from 1 species
GACGAACGCUGGCGGCGUGCUUAACACAUGCAAGUCGAACGGAAAGGCCCUGCUUUUGUGGGGUGCUCGAGUGGCGAACGGGUGAGUAACACGUGAGUAACCUGCCCUUGACUUUGGGAUAACUUCAGGAAACUGGGGCUAAUACCGGAUAGGAGCUCCUGCUGCAUGGUGGGGGUUGGAAAGUUUCGGCGGUUGGGGAUGGACUCCCGGCUUAUCAGCUUGUUGGUGGGGUAGUGGCUUACCAAGGCUUUGACGGGUAGCCGGCCUGAGAGGGUGACCGGCCACAUGGGGACUGAGAUACGGCCCAGACUCCUACGGGAGGCAGCAGUGGGGAAUAUGGCACAAUGGGCGGAAGCCUGAUGCAGCAACGCCGCGUGCGGGAUGACGGCCUUCGGGUUGUAAACCGCUUUCGCCUGUGACGAAGCGUGAGUGACGGUAAUGGGUAAAGAAGCACCGGCGAACUACGU